AAGUCGAACGCGAAAGUCCCCUUCGGGGGAUUAGUAGAGUGGCGUCCGGGUGAGUAACACGUAGGUAAUCUACCUUCGGGUGGGGAAUAACGCAGGGAAACUUGCGCUAAUACCGCAUAAUGCAGCGGCACCACAUGGUGACAGUUGUUAAAGCGGGGGAUUUUCGAACCUCGCGCCUGAAGAGGAGCCUGCGGCAGAUUAGCUAGUUGGUAGGGUAACGGCUUACCAAGGCGACGAUCUGUAACCGGCCUGAGAGGGCGGUCGGUCACACUGACACUGACAUACGGGUCAGACUCCUACGGGAGGCAGCAGUCGGGAAUUUUGGGCAAUGGGCGAAAGCCUGACCCAGCAACGCCGCGUGAAGGAUGAAAUCCCUCGGGAUGUAAACUUCGCAAGAAUGGGAAGAAUAGACGAGUACUAAUACUGCUCGUGAUGACGGUACCAUUUGUAAGCUCCGGCUAACUCCGUGCCAGCAGCCGCGGUAAUACGGGGGGAGCAAGCGUUGUUCGGAUUUACUGGGCGUAAAGGGCGCGUAGGCGGUCAGCACAAGUCAGUUGUGAAAUCUCCGGGCUUAACUCGGAAAGGUCAACUGAUACUGUGCGACUAGAGUGCAGAAGGGGCAACUGGAAUUCUCGGUGUAGCGGUGAAAUGCGUAGAUAUCGAGAGGAACACCUGCGGCGAAGGCGGGUUGCUGGGCUGACACUGACGCUGAUGCGCGAAAGCCAGGGGAGCGAACGGGAUUAGAUACCCCGGUAGUCCUGGCCUUAAACGAUGGAUGCUUGGUGUCUGGAGUUUUA
rnacentral:rRNA from 1 species